UGUGGAGGCUUCGGCAGUGGCAUUCAGCGUGGGGUCGCAGUCAUGGUAGGGGCCAAGGCUGAGGCCGCGGAGCUCGUGGAGGCAAGGCCGAGGACAAGGAGUCACCAAGUUGGGCUGCCUGGUCAAGGACAUGAAGAUCAGAUCCCUGGAGGAGAUCUCUCUCUUUUCCCUGCCCGUCAAGGAGUCUGAAAUCAUUGACUUUUUCCUGGGGGCAUCUCUCAAGGAUUAGCUUUUGAAGAUUAUGCCGGUGCAAAAGCAGACCUGCGCUGGCCAGAGGACCAGGUUCAGGGCGUUUGUUGCCAUCGUGGACUACAAUGGCCAUGUUGACUGGGGUGUUGAGUGCUCCAAGGAGGUAGCCACUGCCAUCUGAGGGGCCAUGGUCCUGGCCAAGCUCUCCAUCGUCCCUGUGAGGAAAGGCUAUGAGGGGAACAAGAUUGGCAAGCCCCACACCGUUCCUUGCAAAGUGACAGGCCACUGUGGCUCUGUGUUGGUAUGUCUCAUCCCUGCCCCUAGAGGAACUGGCAUCGUCUCAGCCCCUGGGCCCAAGAAGCUGCCGCUGAUGGCUGGUAUCGAUGACUGCUACAUCUCAGCCAGGGGCUGCACUGCCACCCUGGGCAACUUCUCUAAGGCCACUUUUGAUGCCAUCUCUAAGACCUACAGCUAUCUGACUCCUGACCUCUGGAAAGAGACAGUAUUCACCAAGUCUCCCUACCAGGAAUUCACUGACUAUCUUGUCAAGACCCAUACCAGAGUCUCUGUGCAGAGGACCCAGGCUCUAGCUGUGGCUACAACAUGGCAUUUUUAUACAAGAGAACAAAGUGAAUUUAGCCUGUUAAAAAAAACCUGCCUGUUAAUGAGUUGA